ACCUGGGUGGCUCAGUCGGUUAGGCGCCUGACUUCGGCUCAGGUCGUGAUCUUACAGUUCGUGGGUUCGAGCCCCGUGUCAGGCU
rnacentral:tRNA from 1 species